GUGCUCGCUUUGGCAGCACAUACACUAGAAUUGAAACAAUGCAGAGAAGAUUAGCAUGACCCCUAUGCAAGGAUGGCAUGCAAAUUCGUGAAGCAUUCCAUAUUUUU
ensembl:snRNA U6 U6 spliceosomal RNA